UGGGCAUUUUGGGCCAUGGGGGGAUACCCGGAUCCACCCAGCCCCCUGGGGUGAAGAAGCCCUCCGGCUGGUAAACCCCUUCCGCCCGGGAAGAAAUCUGCCAGCCAAAUACCCUUAAGGAAGAACGUCCCGGGAGUAAGCAGCACCGCAUAACUACGUGCCAGCAGCCGCGGUAAUACGUAGGGUGCGGCGUUAAUCGGAAUUACUGGGCGUAAAGCGUGCGCAGGCGGUUUUGUAAGACAGGCGUGAAAUCCCCGGGCUCAACCUGGGAACUGCGCUUGUGACUGCAAGACUAGAGUACGGCAGAGGGGGGUGGAAUUCCACGUGUAGCAGUGAAAUGCGUAGAGAUGUGGAGGAACACCAAUGGCGAAGGCAGCCCCCUGGGUCGAUACUGACGCUCAUGCACGAAAGCGUGGGGAGCAAACA
rnacentral:rRNA from 1 species